rnacentral:rRNA from 1 species
AUUGAACGCUGGCGGCAUGCCUUACACAUGCAAGUCGAACGGCAGCACGGGUGCUUGCACCUGGUGGCGAGUGGCGAACGGGUGAGUAAUCCAUCGGAACGUACCUUAUCGUGGGGGAUAACGCAGCGAAAGCUGUGCUAAUACCGCAUACGCACUGAGGGGGAAAGCGGGGGAUCGAAAGACCUCGCGAGAUUAGAUCGGCCGAUGCCUGAUUAGCUUGUUGGUGGGGUAAAAGCCCACCAAGGCGACGAUCAGUAGCUGGUCUGAGAGGACGAGCAGCCACACUGGGACUGAGACACGGCCCAGACUCCUACGGGAGGCAGCAGUGGGGAAUUUUGGACAAUGGGGGCAACCCUGAUCCAGCAAUGCCGCGUGAGUGAAGAAGGCCUUCGGGUUGUAAAGCUCUUUUGUCAGGGAAGAAACACCGGCUCUAACACAGUCCGGGAAUGACGGUACCUGAAGAAUAAGCACCGGCUAACUACGUGCCAGCCGCCGCGGUAA